rnacentral:misc_RNA from 1 species
UGGUGACAAAUAAGUAGUAAGUGGGCGGAGUUUAAAGGUCCUAUAUUUUCUCUUCAGUGUUAGUACUAUAAAAAGAAACUCUAGAAGCUGGUAACUCUAAUUUGAAAGUGUUUUCAAAACUGUUUGGAAGGAUAAAUAACUUAAGGAACAAAGAGAUAGCAAAGAUGGCACGUGAGAAACGCAUUAGUAUGCACGUAGUAUUUGUGAUUUUGUUGCAUCAUGUCUUGAUCAGCAUUGCAACAAAUGUCACAGAUAUUAGGCUAGAGAACGGAGUAGGACUGUACGAUGGUAGAGUUGAGAUACUGACGAAUGGAACUUGGGGAACAAUCUGUAGUACAUAUUUUGGCUAUUACGAUGCAGCGUCUAUAUGUGAAAUACUUUUUGGUGUACGGUCACAGAUUCUUAAGUAUCAUCCGACUUCCGACAGCUAUGGAGAAGGAACAGGUCCUAUUCAUAUAGACAAUCUUCGUUGCACUGGACAUGAGGCAGAUUUAAAUCAGUGCACAUAUAGCCUAGAUGUGACAUGUACAGAUCAUAGCCGGGAUGUAGCUGUUGCUUGCAACGUGGAAUCUUUAAACAUUACCAAAACGAGACUAGUCAACGGAACAGGACCGUACGACGGUCGUAUCGAGUUAUAUGUGGACGGGAAAUGGGGGACGAUAGAUCAAAGGGGCAUAGAUAUGUACGGUGCAAAGACAAUCUGCAAUACACACGGUGCAAGCUUAGCUAUGUACUUUGAUACUGCAAUAUAUGGGGUAGGAACUGGGCCAAUACUGAUUAGUCGUUUAUACUGCACUAAAGAAAUGGAUACCGUAAAUAGCUGUCCUUUUUCAUCACCAUACCGUCCUUAUAGCUCACACCUGUACGACUUAUCCAUAGUUUGUACACCUUGUGGUUUACCAGAGAUUUAUAAUGGAGAUCCAGUAGCAUUCAAUGGAACAGAAUUAACAGUGGCAUGUCAUACAGGAUUCUACCCAACCCAGAUUAAAAUGAAAUGUCUAAAUAAUCAUAGUUGGUCCGAGGAACAAAGAUGCACUCCCUAUCAUGCGUUUCCACUAAUUGUGAGUGACAUUCAGUUAAAGGAUAAUGAUGCAGCUUUCCAAGGACGUGUUGAAAUUUUGGUUAAUGGAACAUGGGGGACAAUUUGUGACACUAAUUUUGAUUCUGCAGACGCAAGAGUAAUUUGCAAAAUGUUUGGACUAAAAUAUAACAGCUUCAGAAAGGCCUACAGGCCUUGGCCCUCCAGGGACAGUAUAGGUAGCGGCCCUAUCUACGUCAACAAGUUGAAUUGCACAGGAACAGAAUCUCAUAUAAACCUUUGCAGUUAUGAGAUUUCAAAUCACUGUACGCAUUACGACGAUGUUGCUGUUUUUUGUACAGAUUGUCUGAUGGUCCAAGUCCAACGGAUGGAAGGGUCGAGCUAAAAAUAUUGGAUACAUGGGGAACAGUAUGCGAUUAUGGUUUUAGACAAGCAAGAGGCUGAUACUAUCUGUAGUAUGCUAGGAUACCCUCCAGCAGUAAGAGUUAUAAAGAUGGCCGUUAUGGACGUGGCACAGGGCCAAUAUUUGUAGACGACCUUAGCUGUGAGGAAAACGCAACACAUAUAAACAACUGCACCUAUAGUACAGAUAUACACUGUAGACUUUACCCUGUUGUUUCUGUUGUUUGCACAG